rnacentral:rRNA from 1 species
UAACGCGAAGAACCUUACCUACUCUUGACAUCCAGAGAACUUAGCAGAGAUGCUUUGGUGCCUUCGGGAACUGUGAGACAGGUGCUGCAUGGCUGUCGUCAGCUCGUGUUGUGAAAUGUUGGGUUAAGUCCCGCAACGAGCGCAACCCUUAUCCUUUGUUGCCAGCGGUUCGGCCGGGAACUCAAAGGAGACUGCCAGUGAUAAACUGGAGGAAGGUGGGGAUGACGUCAAGUCAUCAUGGCCCUUACGAGUAGGGCUACACACGUGCUACAAUGGCAUAUACAAAGAGAAGCGACCUCGCGAGAGCAAGCGGACCUCAUAAAGUAUGUCGUAGUCCGGAUUGGAGUCUGCAACUCGACUCCGUGAAGUCGGAAUCGCUAGUAAUCGUGGAUCAGAAUGCCACGGUGAAUACGUUCCCGGGUCUUGUACACACC